CCGAGAGACACCCGAUGCAACAGCUGAAUCUCCUACUUAUACUUAGGCCACUACCCACUCAGGGCAGGGCACAAAGGCAGCGUUUCUAUUCCUGGGCAUGGCAGACACGCUCCCCGCAGAAACCAACCGGGAUCCGAGAGUCUAUAUGCCUGAUGUAUGUGGUUUCAAAAGCUCAACAUAUUUGCGAAGAACUGGGUUCAAAACGAGACAUAAAACAGCUGAGACAGCUCACAACAUCCACAACACAUUGGCCCAGGAACUGCUAAUGAAAGUGCAGUGCAGUGGUGGUCCAAGAAAUUUGACAAAGGAGACAAGAACCUUGAGGAUGAGGCGCGUAGUGGCCGGCCAUCAAAAGUUGAC